rnacentral:sRNA from 1 species
CUGCACAGCGUGCUCACAAAAAGCCUGAAAAUCUCGUCAAGCACCCUUGGGCAACAUUUUUUUUACUGUUCUUGCGCUGAGUCAGUUUACUUACUACAAGUAAUGGGUACUAUGUACGCCGGCCAGUUUCUCUUUCCUGAGAGA